rnacentral:rRNA from 1 species
AUUGAACGCUGGCGGCAGGCCUAACACAUGCAAGUCGAGCGGAUGAAGGGAGCUUGCUCCUGGAUUCGGCGGCGGACGGGUGAGUAAUGCCUAGGAAUCUGCCUGGUAGUGGGGGAUAACGUCCGGAAACGGGCGCUAAUACCGCAUACGUCCUGAGGGAGAAAGUGGGGGAUCUUCGGACCUCACGCUAUCAGAUGAGCCUAGGUCGGAUUAGCUAGUUGGUGGGGUAAAGGCCUACCAAGGCGACGAUCCGUAACUGGUCUGAGAGGAUGAUCAGUCACACUGGAACUGAGACACGGUCCAGACUCCUGCGGGAGGCAGCAGUGGGGAAUAUUGGACAAUGGGCGAAAGCCUGAUCCAGCCAUGCCGCGUGUGUGAAGAAGGUCUUCGGAUUGUAAAGCACUUUAAGUUGGGAGGAAGGGCAGUAAGUUAAUACCUUGCUGUUUUGACGUUACCAACAGAAUAAGCACCGGCUAACUUCGUG